rnacentral:rRNA from 1 species
CCUACGGGAGGCAGCAGUAAGGAAUAUUGGGCAAUGGAGGCAACUCUGACCCAGCCAUCCCGCGUGAAGGAUUAAGGCCCUAUGGGUUGUAAACUUCUUUUGUUUGGGAAGAAACCUGGUCAUUUAUGAGCAGUUGACGGUACCUUACGAAUAAGCACCGGCUAACUCCGUGCCAGCAGCCGCGGUAAUACGGAGGGUGCAAGCGUUAUCCGGAAUCACUGGGUUUAAAGGGUGCGUAGGCGGUUCGAUAAGUCAGAGGUGAAAGCUAGCAGCUUAACUGUUAAAUUGCCUUUGAUACUGUUGGACUUGAAUCAGGUUGAGGUAGGCGGAAUGUGACAUGUAGCGGUGAAAUGCAUAGAUAUGUCAUAGAACACCAAUUGCGUAGGCAGCUUGCUGGGCCUGAAUUGACGCUGAGGCACGAAAGCGUGGGGAUCAAACAGGAUUAGAUACCCUGGUAGUCCACGCCCUAAACGAUGUUAACUCGAUAUUUAUUCUUCGGAGUGAGUGUCCAAGCGAAAGCGUUAAGUUAACCACCUGGGGAGUACGUUCGCAAGAAUGAAACUCAAAGGAAUUGACGG